CCUACGGGUGUGCAGCAGUGAGGAAUAUUGGUCAAUGGGCGCGAGCCUGAACCAGCCAAGUCGCGUGAGGGCUGAAGGUUCUAUGGAUCGUACACCUCUUUUAUAAGGGAAUAAAGUGUGGGACGUGUCCUAUUUUGUAUGUACCUUAUGAAUAAGGAUCGGCUAACUCCGUGCCAGCAGCCGCGGUAAUACGGAGGAUCCGAGCGUUAUCCGGAUUUAUUGGGUUUACAGGGUGCGUAGGCGGCCUUUUAAGUCAGCGGUGACAGUCUGUGGCUCAACCAUAGAAUUGCCGUUGAAACUGGGGGGCUUGAGUAUGUGUGAGGCAGGCGGAAUGCGUGGUGUAGCGGUGAAAUGAUUAGAUAUCACGCAGAACCCCGAUUGAGAAGGCAGCCUGCCAAGCCAUGACUGACGCUGAUGCACGAAAGCGUGGGGAUCAAACAGGAUUAGAUACCCCAGUAGUC
rnacentral:rRNA from 1 species